rnacentral:sRNA from 1 species
AGAAAUUGCUUCUAGGGUUCCGAUUUAAGCGUCCUUAAAUGUCAGGUCCGAGAGAAGCAAGCUAGUCUUAAAUGAGCGGAUCAAAAAUUGUUCCGUCUAAGCUGGCUACACGGCGGGAUAAAAGCCCGGGAGAC